UACAGGGGGUGCAAACGUUGCUCGGAAUUAUUGGGCGUAAAGCGCGCGUAGGCGGCUACUUAAGUCGGAUGUGAAAGCCCCCGGCUCAACUGGGGAGGGUCACUCGAUACUGAUCGACUUGAAGGCAGGAGAGGGAAGCGGAAUUCCCGGUGUAGUGGUGAAAUGCGUAGAUAUCGGGAGGAACACCCGUGGCGAAGGCGGCCAGCUGGGAUACACCUGACGCUGAGGCACGAAGGCGUGGGGAGCGAACGGG
rnacentral:rRNA from 1 species